AUUGAACGCUGGCGGCAGGCCUAACACAUGCAAGUCGAACGAGUGGCGGACGUGUGAGUAAUAUCUGGGAAACUGCCUGAUGGAGGGGGAUAACUACUGGAAACGGUAGCUAAUACCGCAUACCAUCGGAUGUGCCCAGCUGGGAUUAGCUAGUAGGUGGGGGAACGGCUCACCUAGGCGACGAUCCCUAGCUGGUCUGAGAGGAUGACCAGCCACACUGGAACUGAGACACGGUCCAGACUCCUACGGGAGGCAGCAGUGGGGAAUAUUGCACAAUGGGCGAAAGCCUGACGCAGCCACGCCGCGUGUAUGAAGAAGGCCUUCGGGUUGUAAAGUACUUUCAGCGGGGAGGCGUUACCCGCAGAAGAAGCACCGGCUAACUCCGUGCCAGCCGCCGCGGUAAUUC
rnacentral:rRNA from 1 species